rnacentral:rRNA from 1 species
CAGAGGUGGCAAGCGUUGUUCGGAAUUACUGGGCGUAAAGGGCGCGUAGGCGGCCUUCUAAGUCAGACGUGAAAUCCCCAGGCUUAACUUGGGAACUGCGUCUGAUACUGGGAGGCUUGAAUGCGGGAGAGGGAUGUGGAAUUCCAGGUGUAGCGGUGAAAUGCGUAGAUAUCUGGAGGAACACCGGUGGCGAAGGCGGCAUCCUGGACCGACAUUGACGCUGAGGCGCGAAAGCUAGGGGAGCAAACGGGAUUAGAUACCCCGGUAGUCCUGGCCCUAAACGAUGAGUGCUUGGUGUGGCGGGUAUCGAUCCCUGCCGUGCCGAAGCUAACGCAUUAAGCACUCCGCCUGGGGAGUACGGUCGCAAGGCUG